GUCAGGAUUUCCAGCGCUGUUUUAUAAUUAUCUCUCCUUUUCUCGAGGCUCUGGUACGAUAUUUGUGCUCACCAAAGUUGACCUGGCGGAGAAGGGUGGAGUCAAACAAGACAGGAUGCUCUCAAUUCUGGAUGGUCAGUUGUUCUCAAUGAAGGCCCUUGGAUACUAUGCCUGGUUACUGGGAGAGCACACGUUUUCUGAGGUAGUGGCAAGCUAGCCAACUCUGGCAGGUCAACAGGUCAGAGAAGUUGGACACAUUCAGAGAAGCACUCAAUUGUAAAGACACAGACAGCAAUUAAAGAGACUGACUGCGCCAUGUGUGAACCUCUAUAAUUAUGUAGUAUCUUCCGUUUGUAUAAAAAUGUAUACAUAAUUGUGAUACUGUAGGUCAUCAAAA